rnacentral:misc_RNA from 1 species
UAUUAUAUUUAAAACCUUCAACCGGCAGACAUCGAACCUUUUUGGAAAAAUAAUCUUUUAGUUUCCUGCAUGAAACAUACGUUUGAAACUUAGAAACCCCCCGUACAGAUGUGUUGUACCUUUUAUGGUACUAUAAAACUCCCAUACAGUACUAAAUAUGUCCAUAUGGGUAUAUUAUCUAUAAAACUACAUCUCGACUAUUUUAUAAAAGUAGGCUUGUUUCAUGCAAUUUUCUUCAAUCAAGACAUCUUAGAACUCAUCUUAGUGAUUCCUUAUGAAAGAAACACACAAAACACAACACAAG